AACUAUAACUGGAGGACCAGCUUUUGGGCUCAGUAAUAUUUCCAGAGUCACUUUCUGCCAGCAGUCUCAGGAUAGGAGUGGAUUUCCUAAAGUGUGAGGACACAGUACAGAGCUCUAUACAGGACAAGUUAUAGAGGUACAGCAAUUACACAACAGAGCUUGCUGGGAUUUAUGAGGUAUAAUGGAGAUUAUUAGUCCUUCAGGCAACUUUCUCUCCAGUUUUCUCAUCUUCCUCUUUUUUGAGACAUACACAUUGGCCUCAGAAGAGUUCUCAGUGAUUGGACCUACACAACCCAUUCAGGCCCAGCUAGGGGGAGAAGCAGCCCUGCCAUGCCAUCUUUCUCCCCAAAAGAAUGCUCAGGACAUGAAAGUGAUUUGGUCCCAAUCACUAAAAAUUGUGCAUCACUAUGAACAUGGGAAGGAUGAGUUUAGAGAUCAAAGCCCUGAUUACCAGGGGAGAACAAAGCUGGUGAGAGAUUCCAUCACUAGUGGAAAUGUCACUCUGAGAAUAUGGAACAUUACAGCCUCAGAUGAAGGAUGGUACAAAUGUCAUUUUGACAGCGGUUCUCAUCGAGAAGAAGCUAAUGUGAAACUAUGUGUCUCAGGUGAAGGAGCUGAGCAACAGAUCCUACCUUGGUUGAUUAUUUUCACUGGGAUAAUUAUUGUAGACUGGAUACUGUCAUUUGUCUUUUCUGCAGUUUUCAUCCUUCGAUACAAAGAACAUGGUCUCCAGAAACUUCCCUGGCCAUGGGAGAUAAAUGGAAUCCUGGCUGUGAUAUCAGCAUUUGAAAUUGGUCUUGCAAUUUGUUAUCUGUGGGUGUUACACAGAUUUGGAGGAUUUGUUUACAGAGAGAAGUCAGACUGGAUGGAAUUGCUCAUUUGGAUCAUCUUCCUAGUCUAUGUUGUAUUCUCUGCUGCUGAACUUGGGAUUGAACUUCUAUUAUUUACCUGCCUGUUUCUGCUAUAUGUAACCAGUUCCUCCCACUUCUGGGUCACUAAAAAGAACCCUUAGAACUCACGUCCUUCAAUCAACCAAUGAUUGUGUUCUCUCCCUUGGUGAUUAAGAGCUGUAUGAGAUGCGACUCACUUCCAGAUUGAUGAGACAUCCCAAGCAGAAUCAUAAAUGUGCUGACUUUACCACUGAAUUCUGAUGGGAACUCGAACUACUUUCUCCUUAUUUUAUCCCUCUGCUAUUCAGUCACAUAAGGAUUCCUUGAGUUAUAAAAGAGAUUCUUCAUCACUUUUAUCUACAAACAAGAGAGAGCCUGAGAAAGUUGCCUUCUAGUUUGUGUCUCCCCACCUCAAGUCUCUCCCCACUCAAACUGAGUGGAUGCCCAUCAAUUGGAGAAUGGCUGAAUAAAUUGUGGUGUAUGAAUGUUAUGGAAUAUUAUUGUUCUGUAAGAAAUGACCAGCAGUUAACAUGUUUAACAUGUAUUGGUCAACCUGCCAUCUGCAGGAGAGGGUGGGGGGAAGGAAGGGGAAAAUUGGAACAAAGGGUUUUGCAAUUGUCAAUGCUGAAAAAUUAUCCAUGCAUAUAUCUUGUAAAUAAAAGGCUAUAUUAAAAAAAACACCUUAAAAAAAAAAAAGAAAGAAAGAAAGAAAUGACCAGCAGGAUGAUUUCAGAAAGGCCUGGAGAGACUUACAUGAACUGAUGCUGAAUAAAAUGAGCAGGACCAGGAGAUCAACAACAACAAUACUAUAUGAUGAUCAAUUCUGAUGGACAUGGCCCUCUUCAACAAUGAGAUGAACCAAAUCAGUUCCAAAAGAGCAGUAAUGAAUUGAACCAACUACACCCAGUGAAAGAACUGUGGGAGAUGACUAUGAUCCACCUCAUAGAAUUCCCAUUCCCUCUAUUUUUGUCCACCUACAUUGUUGAUUUCCUUCACAGUUUAAUUGUACACUAUUUCAAAGUCCGAUUCUUUUUGUUCAGCAAAAUAACUGUAUGGACAUGUGUAUAUAUAUUGUAUUUAACAUAUAUUUUAACAUAUUUAACAUGUAUUGGUCUACCUGCCAUCUGGGGGAGAGAUGGGGGGAAGGAGGGGAAAAAUUGGAACAAAAGGUUUUGCAAUUGUUGAUGCUGAAAAAUUACCCAUGCAUAUAUCUUGUAAAUAAAAAGCUAUAAUAAAAAAAAGUCUCUCCCCACUCAAGUAUAUCCUCCACACAUCUAUGAAAAUUUUUCUAUCUAACUCCUAAUGUUUUCUCUCUGAGAUUACCGUGUCUUGUAUCUACAUUUUUUGUGUGCUAUCUCCCCCAUUAGAAUGUGAGGUCCUUAAGGACAGGGAUCAUGUUUCCUUUUCCUUUCUUUUUUUGUAUCCUUAGUGCUUAACACAGUGCUUUGCACAUAGUGGGUACUUAAUAAAUGCUUACUGAUUUGC